GCUUGCAAUUAUCUCUAUUCAGGUUAUCUCUAUUUCCCUAAAGUCAAAAUAGUUAUAUACUCCUUACGGGUAAUUCUGUAUUUUUAAAACGGAUCAAGAUACAACUAGACGUUUUUACACUUGUAAGAAAUUGUGUCUACCACUAUUUAAAAUCACACUAGUUCCUGUGAAAUUUGAAAUCCCAAUUAAAAAACUUUGACGUCAUAAGUAAAAGUGGCUUGACGUCGGAACUUUCAGCUAACUACCAGUGGUGUAAAUGUGUUAUUAAUUUCAUAAGACUAUUAUGUUGUUGUUACAGAUCAAGUUCUAGUAAACACGUUUUACUCCCAAAAAUAAUAUGAUACGCAAACUAGAAACGUUGCGAACAUUCAC
rnacentral:lncRNA from 1 species